rnacentral:rRNA from 1 species
AGAGUUUGAUCCUGGCUCAGGAUGAACGCUGGCGGCGUGCUUAACACAUGCAAGUCGAACGGUGAAAGCGGAGCUUGCUCCGCUGGAUCAGUGGCGAACGGGUGAGUAACACGUGAGCAAUCUGCCCCUGACUCUGGGAUAAGCGCUGGAAACGGCGUCUAAUACCGGAUACGAGCUGCGAAGGCAUCUUCAGCAGCUGGAAAGAACUUCGGUCAGGGAUGAGCUCGCGGCCUAUCAGCUAGUUGGUGAGGUAACGGCUCACCAAGGCGUCGACGGGUAGCCGGCCUGAGAGGGUGACCGGCCACACUGGGACUGAGACACGGCCCAGACUCCUACGGGAGGCAGCAGUGGGGAAUAUUGCACAAUGGGCGAAAGCCUGAUGCAGCAACGCCGCGUGAGGGACGACGGCCUUCGGGUUGUAAACCUCUUUUAGCAGGGAAGAAGCGAAAGUGACGG